UAAGGGAUAUUGCACAAUGGGCGCAAGCCUGAUGCAGCAACGCCGCGUGCAUGAUGAAGGCCUUCGGGUCGUAAAAUGCUUUUCUGGCUGAAGAGGAAGGACAGUAAGCCAGGAAUAAGUGUCGGCUAACUACGUGCCAGCAGCCGCGGUAAAACGUAGGACGCAAGCGUUAUCCGGAGUUACUGGGCGUAAAGCGCGGGCAGGCGGUCUCUUAAGUCUGAUGUGAAAUCUCCUCGCUCAACGGGGAGCAGCCAUUGGAAACUGGGAAACUGGAGUCUGACAGAGGUAGGCGGAAUUCCGGGUGGAGUGGUGAAAUGCGUAGAGAUCCGGAGGAACACCAGAGGCGAAGGCGGCCUACUGGGUCAGUACUGACGCUGAGCCGCGAAAGCCAGGGGAGCGAACGGGAUUAGAACCCGGUAGUCCUGGCCGUAAACGAUGUGUGCGUGGGUGGU
rnacentral:rRNA from 1 species